rnacentral:rRNA from 1 species
GUGGAUAACCUGCCGUAUACCGGGGGAUAACACUUAGAAAUAGGUGCUAAUACCGCAUAAGCGCACGGCUCCGCAUGGGGCAGUGUGAAAAACUCCGGUGGUAUACGAUGGAUCCGCGUCUGAUUAGCUAGUUGGCGGGGUAACGGCCCACCAAGGCAGCGAUCAGUAGCCGGCCUGAGAGGGUGGACGGCCACAUUGGGACUGAGACACGGCCCAAACUCCUACGGGAGGCAGCAGUGGGGAAUAUUGCACAAUGGGGGAAACCCUGAUGCAGCGACGCCGCGUGAGUGAAGAAGUAUCUCGGUACGUAAAGCUCUAUCAGCAGGGAAGAAAAUGACGGUACCUGACCAAGAAGCCCCGGCUAACUACGUGCCAGCAGCCGCGGUAAUACGUAGGGGGCAAGCGUUAUCCGGAUUUACUGGGUGUAAAGGGAGCGUAGACGGCAGCACAAGUCUGGAGUGAAAUCCCGGGGCUUAACCCCGGAACUGCUUUGGAAACUGUGCGGCUGGAGUGCAGGAGGGGUAAGCGGAAUUCCUAGUGUAGCGGUGAAAUGCGUAGAUAUUAGGAGGAACACCGGUGGCGAAGGCGGCUUACUGGACUGUAACUGACGUUGAGGCUCGAAAGCGUGGGGAGCAAACAGGAUUAGAUACCCUGGUAGUCCACGCCGUANACGAUGAUUACUAGGUGUCGGGGGACCAAGGUCCUCCGGUGCCGGCGCAAACGCAUUAAGUAAUCCACCUGGGGAGUACGUUCGCAAGANUG